rnacentral:rRNA from 1 species
GUAAUGACGAGAACUGAAUCGAGGCAGGAAUGGCUCUGCGUUAGCAGAGUUUUCUCGAAUCCAGGAGACCAUGAAAGAUCAUAUAGAAAGUGUUAGCAAGUUCGUACCGAGAACCGACACAGGUGCGCUGGCUUAGAAAGCUAAGGUGCUACGGGUAUACCGUAUGGCGAGGGAAUUCGGCAAAUUAGUCCUGUAGCUUAGGUAUAAGGGAUACCUGCUGUUUUAAUGAGGAAUUGGGACAGCAGGUUGCAAUGACUAGGGGGUUCCGACUGUUUAAUAAAAACACAGGCGACUGCUAGUCCGAAAGGAUUUGUAUAGUCGCUGAAUCCUGGCCGGUGCAGGUACCUAAAACUUGGGUUCAACCGAGCUAAGGGCCUGUUAACGCCGGGAGUAACUCUGACUCUCUUAAGGUAGCCAAAUGCCUUGUCGGGUAAGUUCCGACGCGCAUGAAUGGAACAACGAGAGCCCCACUGUCCCCGCCUACAACCCGGUGAAGCCACAUAAGGUGGACGAACAGUCCAUCAUCUUCCAUCGGGGAGAGAAGACCCCGUGGAGUUUUACUGCAGCUUGUGCUUGUAGUAUAGUACGAAUUACAUAGUGUAUCUGGUAGCCAUGCCUGAAUUUCUUUGGGAAUUCAGUGAAGCGACGAUGUAACACCAGAUUAUUUUUGCAGUACUUCUAAUCUGGUUCAUACCAGAAACAGGUGCAGGUGGGCAGUUCGGCUGGGGCGGCACCCCUUUGAAAAGAUAUCAAAGGGUCCCAAAGUUUAGUUCAAACGGGUCAGAAAUCCGUUGAAGAGGGCAAAGCCAAAAACUAGACUGACAGGAUUUCCAAACGCACGGAAUUCUGAGACGAAAGUCUGGCUUAGCGAUCCUUCGUGUGCCCACUAUUGGGGCCCGGAGGUGACAGAAAAAUUACCCCAGGGAUAACAGGCUCGUCGCGGGCGAGAGCUCCUAUCGACCCCGCGGUUUGGUACCUCGAUGUCGGCUUUUCCUAUCCUGGUCCUGCAGCAGGGGCCAAGGGUGAGGCUGCUCGCCUAUUAAAAGGGAACAUGAGCUGGGUUUAGACCGUCGUGAGACAGGUCGGUCUCUGCCUGAUGGAAGCGCGGCUGUCUGAGGGGAAGUUGCUCUCAGUACGAGAGGAA